CAACCAGCAAAACCGAAGCUAUUGGAAAACUUUCCUGUGUGCCAAAGCGAGAGAGCAUGUCUUCUUUCUCUAGAUUUUGGACGGCACAACGCCGAUCGUGUGGUCUAUGAACGAAAAACGGGAGAAGGGGAAACCGAAAUCCUUCGAGUGACACACACGCAUGCAUCUGCAUGCGUAUUCCGCUGAACCGAGACUACACAUCUCUCUCGAUCUCCCAUGAUUUUUCUGCUAUCGCGCUCAUCCGGGUGUUAGGCAUCCUCAGUCUGUCCAGAACUUUCACUGUGGAAGGAUGUGUUGGAGUGAUGUGUGAUUUCUUGUGCCCCGUACUUUGCUCGUUUACGUUUUGUGCCGUGUUCCUUCUUCUUCAAUUAUGGAAUGAUUUAUCCUUGUCAAUUUCUAAGGUAAGUUUCUUGUGUGUGCUUGAAUGUGUACAUUAAACUAACGCUUGUCGUCUAAAAAGUUACAGGUGCACGCGCAUGUUAAUCGAUGGUUGCCAACAUCCCGCAAAACGAUCGACGGAAGGAAAACGGUGUCCCGUUUUAAAAUAUCAAGAUUUCAUCACAGCUCUUUCGUAGAAGAGUGCACUUCAAGGACGCCUAGGAUACGGCUAAACAUGCGCAGCACCAGUCCGUGACGUCAUUUCCAGACAGGCGCCGGCUGAACACGCGCAGCACCAGUCGAGGAUGUCCUAGCGAGAAGGGCAGAAGGAGGAACGAGAGGAAUGGUAACGGAACCGCUACAAUUGUAGGGGGUGAAGCAUCCAGCCGUGUACAGAGUGUGAGUGUGCCAAAACGCAUGUGGAAAGAGGAGGUCCAAUAAAUAGCAUGCGAAAGUGUGCAUAAAGCAAAAAGAAAAAGCGUCACUACUACAACCAGCAAUCCGAAAAUAUAAGGG